rnacentral:sRNA from 1 species
CAGGUCAUUACAACCUGCAUACACAGGAC